AAUAACGCAAACCUGCUACAAAACCCAGACUGGAUUUCAUGGACGGUCGACUAGAUUCGGUUUGCAGGCGUGACUCCAAUUCAGCAAUCAGCUGUGAGACGGCCUGUGAGUGGCAUGUUUUCUGUGCAGCUUGGGAAGCUGCGUGUGUUCUCCAUUCAACCAUUUUUUAUUACAACGGCCAAUCCGCUACUUCUGGAGCAGCUUGUUUUAAGUUUCCAUGCUUUAUUGUAAAUAAACUUUCUAUAUACAGUAA